UACGUAGGCAGCGAGCGUUGUUCGGAGUUACUGGGCGUAAAGGGGUGUGUAGGCGGUUCUUUAAGUUUGGCGUGAAAUCUCCCGGCUCAACCGGGAGGGUGCGUCGAAGUACUGAGGGACUAGAGUACGGGAGAGGAAAGUGGGAAUUCCUGGUGUAGCGGUGAAAUGCGUAGAGUAUCAGGAGGAACAGCCGGUGGUGUAGACGGCUUUCUGGGACCGUAACGACGCUGAGACACGAAAGCGUGGGUAGCAAACAGG
rnacentral:rRNA from 1 species